GCAAACAAGAAGGAUGCGGCAGGGAGAGAAAAUGAAAAAUAAACGAGUCCCUUUGAACAGAAAAUGAGUUCCACGUCUAAUCGAAUCAAAAACAGAUUCAGCACUUGGCAGAAACCAGAACACUUUCUUCAGAGUUACCAUCAAUCACCUCGACAAGCGUCUGUUAAUCCCUUAUGGAACUUAUAAAUAAGCAGAUGUGAGGAAGACAGCUGAACUUUACUUCUGGUUCUGAUAUUGGGUACGUAAGCAAAGAGACUCGAAGCUAAAACCCAUCAGACCUACGCAGUCUAUUGCCCUUUUGUAUCCCGUCUAUUUUUCAGUGUCCCAUUAAAAAGUUAUUCAACGUCAUAUUUAAAGUUUAUUCAUCGGUAAAGUUGACCGAUUAAUAAGAAGCAAAUUUUUUUUCCUCAUGUAUUUUCAGGAAUGUUCCAUGUUGUGAUUUCUAUAAUUACACCGUUGGAAAGCAGCUCCAAAGAACCACCAUGACAAAUAAUCCGACAGCUAAACCAAUUGGAGAUGAUCCAACUCUUUGUAGACCUGUUGGUUAACGGUGAAGUUUAAGCCCCGCCCCUUGCCCCGCCCCCAAGGAAGAAACGUAAACGUUUGCACAAAUUGGAAACUGUGACUUCUCAAUAUGCCUUUAUUUAGACAGCGUCAUACAGCAGGCUCACUGAUCCUGCAGGUUACAAUAAAUUAUUAGAAAAUGACCUGUACAACCACACAACACAUUAGAAAGAGAUUGGCCUACUUCUACUAGGACAUUUUGUAAAUAAAUGGGAUGGAGCGUUUCACACAACAGCCGUUUUAGUUUCUCGCACUUUUAGAAAGUUGUUCCAACUGGGAGGGAAAAAAAAAAAAUUUGCAAUCAGACAUUGAAAUAGUUGGGAUUUCUUCUGUACUGGAACAGAACAUUUUUAUUCAUACUUUUCUGUAAACAGCCUCAACAAACAUUGAAUGAUGAAGAGAAAAUGAACAGCAUGCUAGACCAAACCAGAAACUGGAGAAGGGGGGAAAGGUUACGUUUACGAGCUGCCACGCAACUCAUUCAUAAAAUGUACAAAAUAAAUCCCCUGAGGCCACGCCCACCAGUAUCUACAUCUAAAAAAAAAAAAAAUAAAAUAUAGGGUAGCACACAUAUCAACUGGAAGCUUUCAAAAUAAGAUGUGGAUUUUCGUACUUGAACACAGCUGGGAAUAAAUUCUGGCGGCAGUAGGAGCCGGGCUGCGUUUAAACCGGUUACAAUCAGAAAGAGAGAGACAUUCAGUUCUUCGGUUACAUUUUUCCAUUUUAAAUGGGUUUGUAGAGCAAAUAAUGGAACAGUCUGGAGUUAAAAAAAAAAAGUUAACAUUUCCCAGAGUUCACUUUCCAUUACUUUGUGGAGGAUUCAUGGGAUCAUAAGGAGAUCAACAAAUACAGAACAGAAGCUUUCUGAGAGCACGUACCAAACCGGGAGUCUCGAAAGUGGGGUUAAAGUGCAACAGAACAAAGAAGGAACAUACGAGUACCCUACAAGGUUGCUAUGUGCUGUGCACCAUGCUCUGCAGACAUGGUUACAACCUAAGCAUGGCAUGGAUACUGGGGUCAAGGUUAAAAAAAAAA